GGGCUUUGGGUGUGCUGGAGGUGAAAGCCAGGCAGUGCCCAGAUACCUCACUGGAUACUGUGCGGUGGGACAGCUCCACCGGGCUGCGAGUGUCGGCGCUGUAGCUACAGUGGAGCGUUUCCUCACGUUCCGGGUAAACGGUGUCAACGACCCAGACAAGAGGAACAGAACUGCGUUGCACUAUGCUUGUGCACAUGGCCACCUGGGGGUGGUAACUCUUCUAAUAGAGAGGAACUGCAACAUUAAUGCCUGCGAUGAUGACAACUGCACACCUCUAAUUAAGGCCUCACAGCAUCAGCAUGGGGACUGUGUGGCUGCCUUGCUACAACAUGGCGCGGAUCCCAAUACUGUGGAUGCUCUCGGAAACACUGCCCUCCACUACGCAGUGCACAGUGGAAACACAUUCAUAGCUUCCCAGCUCCUUGAACACAGUGCAGACAUUGAAGCCAAAACAAAGGAGUGAACCUGCCACACAUUUGAUGGAAACGAACAGAAGUGAAAGUAAAAGCUAUUUUCCUGGAGAUUCCAUGCCAAUGUUUGACAAGUGUGCUGCAGACACAAGUGCUAUGCUACAGGAGAAACAGAGCUGUGCUCACCAACUCCAUCAGGAUGGACAAAGCCCUGCAAAGAGCACAUCUAAAGAAAAGCACGAGGCCAAGAAGCAAAUCAAUGGUAUGGAAGGCCUGGAAGAUGGGACUCUGCCUUGGGAAGCAGCCUCAGAUGACUUUGCAGGAGGCACAGUUGCAAGAAGAACCACAGAGAGAAGGUGUCCUGAGUUCUGCAAGAAUGGAACAUCUGCUAUGGAAGUAUGACUUAAAGCCGAAUGCAAAAUACCUUAAAUAUUUGUAAAUCUGAUCAGCGAUGUAGUGUGGUGAUUAUGCUGGCUGUGGCAAUAAACUCACCCCUGUUAAGCCAUAGAGACUUUAUGUUAUGUGCAAUGCCUAAUUUCAGGCUGGGAUUUAAGUCAGUGCUAUGUUAUGUAAUUUCCAUGGUCACAACUCUGAAUUCCACCAUCUUUCUUUUCAGUUUCUUAAGAAUGGAAUCAUUAAGAAUUGAAAAUAAUUAGUUAUUCUGUAAAAUACCUUAUAGGCUGGAAGUUGAGUGUCUCAAGUUAGAAGACUCAGUAAAGAACCAAGCAGAAGAAAUUGAAGAGAUUGAGAAUCAACUGUUAAGAGACGAUUUGGUAAAUCAGUCUCCUAUUCAUUUCUGCCACCAUAAAGAGAAAACUUCCUGUCCUCAGUGCUACUUUAGUGGGAAAAUGUUAGGAAACAGGAAAGGGUUAAUGACAAAAAUUUCUGUGUUCAUAGUGACAAUUUAUGUAAGAGUGCAAGUCCUCUUGACUUAACAGAAGAAUUUGAUUGAAUCCAUAGAAUUAAUGAUUUGUGCAGCAUUUCAUGAAUGUUGGGUUUCAGCUGUCAAAAUCUUGUCUAGAAAGACCUUUACAUGUACACAUUACCAGACACAGACACUUGUAAACACAUAAUUAAAAAUAUUUUAA
rnacentral:lncRNA from 1 species